CGCGGUCACCAUAGAGGGGUGGGACUGGCAACUAGCGGCGUGAGAUCGGCUCACUUGGCCGCCAUUUUACAACAGCCACAAUCCACCGGACCAGGGAGCUGCAGUUGUAACACGAGGGCGCGUUCGUCCGACGCUGUGACAAGAGAAAGAAGGGGGAAACGAGUGGAGGAGGAGGCAGCCGCUGUGCAGACCGGAGCAACCAGCCCCCACCCGGGUCCAGAGAGAUUUCUGGAGAUAUGGCCGCUGAACAUGUAAAUGGGAAUGGUACGGAAGAGCCCAUGGAUACUUAUGCUGCAGUUGCCCAAUCUGAGCAUUUGCAGACAUUGCUCGAUGCUGGUUUACCACAGAAAGUUGCUGAAAAACUAGAUCUAAUUUACAUUUCAGGAUUAGUUGCACAUAGUGAUCUAGAUGAAAGAGCGAUUGAAGCUUUAAAGGAAUUCAAUGAAGAAGGUGCUUUAGCUGUGCUUCAGCAGUUUAAGGACAGUGAUCUUUCGCAUGUACAGAAUAAAAGUGCCUUUUUAUGUGGAGUUAUGAAGACAUACAGACAAAGAGAGAAACAAGGGACCAAAGUAGCAGAUUCUAGCAAGGGACCCGAUGAAUCAAAAAUAAAGGCCCUUUUGGACAGAACAGGAUAUACCCUAGAUGUAACAACUGGCCAGAGGAAAUAUGGUGGUCCACCUCCAGAUUCUGUUCACUCAGCACAACAGCCAUCCAUUGGUACAGAGAUUUUUGUAGGUAAGAUUCCAAGAGACCUGUUUGAAGAUGAACUUGUUCCAUUAUUUGAAAAAGCUGGAUCUAUUUGGGAUCUGCGUUUAAUGAUGGAUCCUUUGACUGGCUUGAAUAGGGGUUAUGCUUUUGUGACUUUCUGCACGAAAGAGGCUGCACAGGAGGCUGUCAAACUGUACAACAAUCAUGAAAUUCGUUCUGGGAAGCACAUUGGUGUAUGCAUCUCUGUUGCCAAUAAUAGAUUGUUUGUUGGGUCUAUUCCAAAAAGUAAAACAAAGGAACAGAUUGUUGAAGAGUUUAGCAAAGUUACAGAGGGUCUUACUGAUGUCAUCUUAUAUCAUCAACCAGAUGAUAAAAAAAAGAAUAGAGGUUUUUGCUUUUUGGAAUAUGAAGAUCAUAAAACUGCUGCUCAGGCAAGGCGUAGAUUAAUGAGUGGCAAAGUAAAAGUUUGGGGAAAUGUUGUGACUGUGGAAUGGGCUGACCCUAUUGAAGAUCCUGAUCCAGAGGUCAUGGCAAAGGUUAAGGUUUUGUUUGUACGCAACCUUUCAAAUACUGUUACAGAAGAAAUCCUAGAAAAGGCAUUUGGCCAGUUUGGUAAAUUGGAGCGGGUCAAAAAACUUAAAGAUUAUGCUUUUAUUCAUUUUGAUGAGAGAGUUGGUGCAGUUAAGGCAAUAGAUGAAAUGAAUGGCAAAGAUUUGGAAGGCGAGCGAAUCGAAAUAGUUUUUGCGAAACCACCAGACCAGAAAAGGAAAGAACGGAAAGCUCAGAGGCAAGCAGCUAAAAAUCAGAUGUAUGAUGAUUAUUAUUAUUAUGGUGGUCCUCAUAUGCCCCCUCCAUCCCGAGGCCGUGGCAGAGGAGGGCGAGGUGGUUAUGGAUAUCCUUCUGACUAUUAUGGUUAUGAAGAUUACUAUGACUAUUAUGGCUAUGACUACCAUAACUACCGUGGUGGCUAUGAUGAUCCUUUCUAUGGUUACGAAGAUUUUCAAGUCGGAUCUAGGAGCAGGGGUGGUAGAGGAGCAAGGGGUGCUGCUCCAUCCAGAGGUCGCGGGGCAGCUCCUCCCCGUGGCAGAGCCGGUUAUUCACAGAGAGGAGGCCCAGGAUCAGGAAGAGGCUCCAGAGGUGCGAGAGGAGGUGCACAGCAACAAAGAGGCCGCGGGGUACGUGGUGCGAGGGGUGGCCGCGGUGGAAAUGUAGGAGGAAAGCGCAAAGCUGAUGGGUACAACCAGCCAGAUUCCAAGCGGCGUCAGACCAAUAAUCAGAACUGGGGCUCCCAACCCAUUGCUCAGCAACCGCUACAAGGUGGUGAUCAUUCUGCAGGGAAAAGGGGUCGAGGCCGGUCCUGACCUGUUACAAUGAAGACUGACUUGCUAUGUGGGAUUACACCAGAAGCUUGCAGUGGAGUAAUGGGGAAAUCCAGGAAAUGCAUGAUGCUGCAAAAGUGUCCUGCGAUUCUUUGGUAUGAAGAUAGAAUGACGAUGAGAAAUGAAUACUUUACUGAAGAUGGAUGUUCUUAGUACAUAAAAAUAUUACAGUUGGGGAAGUCUUUGGCCUUACUAUUCCAAGAAAAUAAAACCCCAAUAUCCAACCCUGUGUGGGAGACUCUUAAAUAAGAGAACUGAUGGAAACCAAAGCGCUCUUAAAUCGACAAGUAUUCCGAAUUGACAAACCAACUCCUACAACUUGACUACACUCACAAGCUCAAUCCCAACGACACCAAAGCACUACAACUUAAUGCAGAGAUAGCUUUCUUUGUCUGAUUGUUAAAACUCACAAACCAGCUCAUUUACUUGAUCAGAUGUUUUAUUGAGGAAAAUGAACCAGGGCGGCUUUUGGCAAAUGCCCUCAGAUUCCAACAAGCAUUAUCUUAUAUCCCAUUCUUAAACUCUCACCUGUGGCAAGUUAGAGGACUCUAACCAAAGAGGAAUUUCGAGAUUCUACUAAACUAUAACAUUUUUACCCACUUAGAAACACCACUGGCCAUGCCCAAGCCUGCCAAUCAUAUCUUGCUAAUCUCCAAACCUUUUCCUUAACCAUGAAACAAAUGAGUUCCCUUACAAUUCCUAUCUUUGCUGUUGAAAUAGACACCGUCAUUACCUCACUAAAAUGGGGGGGGGGGGGGGAGAUUUACUGAUGCCUACUAUAAAAAGUUUAAAACUAUCCUUAUCCCCCAUCUAUUGUAAGUUUUUAAUGACAUUGAUGACUGGAAUUCCUUCCCUUCGUCCAUGUUAGAGGCAAUUGUUACCGUUCUCCCAAAACCGGCCACUCUACCCUCAAAUUUUCACCUUACCUAAUUUCUAAAUGUAGAUCUAAAAAAAAUUGCCAAAUUUUUAACCAAUAAGCUUAAUCCCUUACUCCCUAAACUUAUACCCCCUGAUCAGGUGGGGUUCAUGCCACGGAGAGAGGCCCAUGUUACUAUUAAAGUACUUUAAUUUGAUAAAUUUUGUAUCUGUAAUAACCAAAUAUCUGCAGUCCUAAAAGGCCUUCAACAGGUUGGACUAGACUUUCCUUAGAUCUGUUCUAAACACAUUUUGGAUUCCCUGACAAAUCUCUAAAUACAAUAUUUUAAUUAUAUUUCCCUAUCAUAAAUCAAGGUUAAUGGUAUCCUUACAUUCCUUCCCCGUCCUAGACGGCACCAGACGGGGCUGUCCUAUGUCCCCACUUCUAUUUGUCCUCUCGAUGGAAAUCUUUUCUAUUCAAUUACAUUCUCUCUCCAUGAUGAUGGAAUAGGAGUUGGCGAUUCACAAUACAAAUUAUUUUUUUUUUUGCCAAUGACUUCCUGACCCACACCGAUCCUAGACACUCUUUGUGGUACAGACCCUACUCUCUGAAUAUAGCAAGGUCUCUAAUUACGCCACUAACUAAAGUAAAUUGCAAUUACUCCCUAUAGUAUUAUACCCUUCUGAACUCUACAAACUUUCUAAAGACUUACCAUAUUUGAUCAACCAUGUAUCGCUCAAAUAUUUAGGAAUAUACCUCUCGACAGACCCACAAAAACUCACUUGUUUUUUUUCUUUUAUCCCACAAGCGAGCAGACCCCUGAUGACCUGGCUGAGAAACUAUGAAAUGCAGGGGCAUAGAUUAUCCUUUUAUAAUCCUUUAUCUCCCUCAACAGCCCAACACUACCUGCUUAUGUUACCUCCUGGCAUAGGGAGUUAUCCUACGCACUGUCAGUAAAGUAAUGGCACCAAAUUUUCUGUAUGACCGCAAAAUCUUCCCACUCCCCUGCCCUCCUAGAAACAAACUAUAUUCUUAUUGCGGAUGUACCGCAAACCUCAGAAACGAAAACAUAUCUUUGCUUUUGCAUUUGGUGGAAUUGCCUAAAAACUAUCCCAAUUCUGGCACAUCUAUCAACAAUAUACUAAACUGUAAGCUCCCUCUUGACCCUCUACCUUUCCUUUUUAAUAAAACCCUCCACACUUAAUCUAAAAACACUUAGCACUCCUACAAAUAGCUCUCAACAGUGCCUGGCAAUUGAUACCAAAACUUUGGGGGAAAAAAGACAUACCUCCCACGCUGGGUAUGUUGACAAACCAACUACAACUUAAUAGGACAUUGUACACAAGAGUUUUCUUUAGCAAAAAUGUUUUGUAGAUGAUCCCUUUAUAUAGCCUAUCUGGGGUUGUUUUUGUAAACAUCUAUUAUAGUUUUGCUUAUUUUUUUAAAUAACGUGCGGAUUUUCAGACUCCUAACCAAGCCCCGAAGUUUUAGAUGUAUACUGAUGUAUACAAACUUCAGAUAUCUUCUGUUUGUAUAAUGGGUCUUUUCAUAUGCAGGGGAGGGUCUGCUCUCAGCUCCUUUCAGUGGUUGCCCCAGCCUAACCUCAUUAACAGGGCUAAAUUAGGAGCUUCUAAGUAAGUUUUUAAAGGGUUUUAUACUGGAUUUUUGUAUAUCUGCAUAUUAUUCUUUUAUUAGUCUUUUAUAUGCAUUAUAAUAAAAAUUGUUGUAUACUGUUCCUUUAACCAA